rnacentral:rRNA from 1 species
CUCAAAGAUUAAGCCAUGCACGUGAAAAGUACACGUCACCUACUGUCUAAACUGCGCAUAGCUCAUUAUAACUGUUAAAACUUGUUUGGAUAUGACAGGGCCACUUGUGGUCCUUUAUAUGGUAUAACCGUAGUAAUUCUAGUGCUAAUACAUGCUAAAAAUGCUUUGGGCUUCAUGUUCAAAGCAACACUCAGGUCCUUAUCAAGUCGACCCGUUAUAAAACUGACUUAACCUGAGCCAAGUUGAUCGCAGAAUCACCUCGGUGAUGGCGACAGUCAAACUAGUUUUCAGACCUAUCAACUACAUCCCAGAGUAGCGGCCUGGAAUGGUUAUAACGGGUACGGGGAAUAAGGGUUCGAUUCCGGAGAGGGAGCCUGAGAAAUAGCUACCACUUCCAAGGAAGGCAGCAGGCGCGCAAAUUACCCAAUGCUAAUUAACCUCCUUAGUGAGGUAGAGACGAUAAAUAUCGAUAUGGCUUCCAUUUCUUGGGAGUCAUGUUCGAAAUGAGAAAAAUUUAAAACUCUUAACGAGUACCAAUUGGAGGACAAGUCUGGUGCCAGCACCCGCGGUAAUUCCAGCUCCAAUAGCGUAUAUGAAAGUUGCUGCAGUUAAAAAGCUCGUAGUUGAAUUGACUGGGGGGGGAGAAGGUUUAAAUUUUUUAUAAAAAAAAUUUUUUUUUUUUUAUAAAAAAUCAAACUUUCGAACUCUCAAUCAUCCUUGAUUAUUUUUUAAACUCAUAUUUUACCUGAAACUGACUUUUUCAUAUGUAUAUAUGAUAUAGAGACAGGUUUAAAAGAGGCCAUUUUGUGGUGUGAGUGAGAUUGAACGUUUCUAUAUAUAUAGAUCUCUAUAUAUAUAGAACGUACAACUUUUACUCUUCUUUUAUUUAUAUACAAAAUAAUAAUAAUAAUAAUGUUUACUUUGAAUAAAAUAGAGCGAUCAAAGCAGGCCUUAGCCUUUGAAUAUAUUAGCAUGGGAUAAAAGUCAUUCAGGUGACAAGAGGGCAUUGGGUUGGCGUUCUCUUGUCAAUCAAGGUUAAUAGGGGCAGUCGGGGUUGAAGGUACUGUCGGGAUAGGGGUGAAAUCCUGUGACCCUGACAAGACCACCGAGAGCGAAAGCAUUCAACAAGGAUGUCUUCGUUAAUCAAGAACGAAAGUUACAGGAUUAAAGAUGAUCAGAUACCGUUGUAAUUGUAGCUAUAAAUCAUACCACCUCAGGACCCGAAGGAGUCUACUUGAAAGCCACUUUCAAGGAUCGACCCUUAUCUUAACUAUAUUUGGGGACUUCGAUGAGAAAUCUUUAAGUAUUCGGGUUCUGGGGGGAGUAUGGUCGCAAGACUGAAACUUAAAAGAAUUGACGGAAAGGCACCACCAGGCGUGGAAUCUGCGGCUUCAAUUUGACUCAACACGGGGAAACUCACCAGGUCAGGACUCAUAAAGGAUUGACAGAUUAACAGCUCUUUCUUGAUCAUGAUUUAAGGCGGUGCAUGGCCGUUUCAUAUUGGUGGAGUGAUUUGUCUGCUUAAUUGCGAUAACGGAUGAGACUUUUGCCUCUAACUAGAACAGUAUAUGGGCUUUCUUAUUAAAUCCCAAUGGUUUCGGCCUUUGGGCUCUUUGUAAGGAAGUCCUCACAAGUUGGUAGUAAGCAGGUUCAAGUUGUUCUUGGUUGGUGCUUGCACUAGCCUUGGGCGCUUGUUCUUGCCCUAUCAUCUUCUAUACUGGAAGGGGUAGUGGCCUCAGUUUGGUGACAGUAAUCGAUCCAGGCUGGGUUACCAUUUACUCCCUAGUUUUCUUCGAGGGACAAUUGACAUAUGAUUUAAAAAAUCAUGAAUCAAGGGAAGCCAAAAGCGACAACAGGUCUGUGAUGCCCUUCGAUGUUCUGGGCUGCACGCGCAUUACAAUGGAAAAGACAACAGGUUAUUAGUCCCAACUCUAUGGUUUCGGGGGGGGCUUGCUUCUCACGGGCCAUGGUUUAAUGGGCUAAGUAUUCCUACCUUUAACAAGUAUUGUAUGGCUUUGGGAUAGGGACUUCGGUUUCUAUUUCUUGGUCUUACUGGGUAACCCCAUAACCUUUUAUCAUACCUGGGAUUGAUUAUUGCAACUAUUAUUCAUGAACGAGGAAUGCCUUGUAAUCACAGGUCAUCAACCUGUGAUGAAUACGUCCCUGCCUUUUGUACACACCGCCCGUCGCUCCUACCGAUUGAAUAAAGGCAUGAGGAGUACGGAGGUCUUUGAUAUGGUCCUGUUUCGGCAGGUUCCCAGUCAGAGCCAAUGUAUUUCAAAUGUUUCUAUUUAGAGGAAGGAGAAGUCGUAACAAGGUCUUCGUAGGUGAACCUGCAGAAGGAUCA